UUGGUUGGGAUCGGGGGAAAGAGGAAAGGGAGCUAGGGGUGCUCGGCGACACGGGGAGGGAGAGGGAAGGCACGCACGCGAGCCGGUUCCUGCGGCAGCAGCGGGAGCCAACGAGGAGGUCCUGGAGCGGAGAAAGAGGAGGAGCGGAAGGGUAGCGAGCGCACGUCCAACGGCAGCAGCCUCUUGUCCUGUCACGCCCAGCGAAGGAGGAAAAGGAGGGUAGCCUAGAUUUCGUACGCCAGUGCCUCCGCUCGGAGAGGAUGUCCCCUCUCUUCUACCCUCUCUCCCCCUCUUCCUUCCUCUCCUCCCUCCGGGUCGCCGCUUGAUCUCUCCCGGCCGGUCGCGGCCGGUCCAGUCCACGCUGGACCACCAACCACCGCCGAGCUAGGUGAUGACCUAGGAAAAAGAAGGUGGAGGGGUGACAGAUUGUGGCUCGUGGCCAGUUCCUCGUACCCUAGCUGUUGCCGCCGAUCUUCGGUUCUCCCUCCUACUCCCCUAACUUCUCCCAGAAGAACACAAGUAACGCACUGGUUCCUUCUCCUGCUACUGCGUCCCACCUUGUACAGUAGGGAGACCAAAACCGGAAGGAAAGACGACGACCCGAUUCUACUCCCAAAGGUGACUAACACCACCGUACUCCGUCUCUAGCUAUCGGUCUACGAACACCGACGGUGUGUUUUGCACGAGAGAACGACUGGAACUCCAGGUCGGCGUUACCUGGUAGAGGUUCGAACGAGCUCCUUUUGUACAUUCGGGCUGCACGUGACUACCGCGACGGUCGUCGUAGUUCCUACCUUAGUCGUUCUGUGAGAAAAUCCAGUCUCUUUAACCGCCAGGUUACUAAUUUGGACUUAGAAGCACCGACGAUGUCGGUGGUAGGACAACAUCGAGUAGGUCUGGUGCUGAUAGUUAUCCACUGGUAGAAGUAACUCCUCCGGUCUCCUCUUCUUUUCCCCGACAGUCCAGCCUGAAACCACGCAGAGACUGGUUUAUACCAACCUAGGUAGGCUGCAAGAAGGUUUAUCAUGUCACGUCUAAACGACUGACCAUGUUGUAGAUUUGGAACCGAUGAGAUCGAAUAAAAAUGUAGAGAAUCAUAGUUGUUUAUUGAACCGAUAUAAUAUAUGAACUUCUAACGUCGUCCGUGUUUUACGAACCGACUGGUGGGUCAAUUAACUCAACACGGAUGCUUCCCAGUCAUCUCAUCAACGAAAAAGAUUUUUUCACUCCUAGCCAAACCAACGGUGUACUGCCAUUCCGAUCUUACCACCAUGGCUUUUCACGAAGACAUUACCAGUAUACACAGCACCUCAACCUUGAACCAAGAAAACUUCAACCUCACCGAUCCAACAGAUAUUUAUGUACGACGGGUGAUUUUAGUCUAAAAUCAUAUGACAAAUUUAGUCCCCACCUAGUAACACAACACAAGCUUAAUCUCGAUCUCUCUUCCCUUCUCAACGCUGGUAUGGUAAAUAAAUAUGACGUACCAGGGUGACAGCUAAAAGAAUUUCAUGUAAACGGAAAAGAAUUUCAUGUAAUGGGAGAACAAGAACCUUCUUAUCUAACUACGAGGGAUGGAGUCCAAAUUGUUACGUACAUCCAACCAGUCACAUGAUUAAAACUGCGAAGAACUAGUCACAAAGCCUUCAGUACCCGAAAACACAUAAACAUGUUCGAAGGAAGCAGAAAUGAUAAAAGAUAGAAAUCACAAAAAAUACAAGGAAACAUUGAUAGGUUACAAGACGGAACCCACCGGAGACAGAACCAAAUGUCGAGGUAUACCGAUCGAUACAUAUGCAUACAUCCAAAACAAACCUGACAUGAGUUAGCGUAUCUACAAAGGUAUAAGUACGUAAGGAGAAAAAUGAACACUAACAAUCUAUCAACUUAUAGUAACCAAAUACAGCCGUAAGACAAAAACGUUAAACUUUAUCCAAAACCAGGUUACUAUAAUUUGAAGUGUUAUCCAUCACCGUAGAAGUCCUUUUUCAUCACCGUCUAUGCUACCUGUGAAGAAAAGGCCACGUCUUUACUACGAUAACUGAACUCAGGAGUUGUGUAUAAAAAGUCAUUGCCUCUCCUAAUAAGUGGAAACGGCGAUGUCCGCAAUUCUGGACCGCCUCGGUCCGGUAGUUCGUGAUAAUCACAAGUUGUGAACCGGGACUACUCGUACUGUUGGACACGAUGGCAGGCUUGUAAUCGAUAAGAAGAAAACCGGACCUUACUCUGGUCAUCCCCGUGGAACUCGCUCAUGAGUUCCUUACGUCAGUUCAGUACUACGGCCAAGGGAAAGCGAUCUAGAAUGUAUAAAUUAAUACACUCAAGCUUUCGGUUUUGACUAACUCUAGAAGACAAGAAUGAACGUCUACAAUACAAUAAGUCUCAUGAAGCCAAAGGUCAGAGAUAUAUAAUAGUUUAAUACCCAGUAAAACUUGGAAUAUCCGAAAAUAAUAUACAAAUCAAUACGAAGGUACCCAAAACGUAUACAUAAUUGUUUUCUUGGUCUGAUGAUAAAACAAAUAAGAACUUAGCUUCCUGCAUGUCAAUUAAACGAGAAUGCUUUCCUGACUCAUCCGUCGAUCGACUUACUCUCCUGUUAGUACUGUUCGUUUGGUUGUGUAUUUAUCAUUUGGGUGUUAAAAAUGUAGACGUAGGGCCACUUGAAAACCAUACCUAUACGUAAAAAUAGGAACCCUCAUGAAACCUAAAAUUCACCCUUAGUAUCAAUAAAAGAAGAAUUGAAACCAUACUGUUCGUUACGUCCACUAUAAGGAUUACCAACAACGACUACGACUUUUUGAUGAGGACUUCGUGAGCUUCACGGGAGAGAUACCAAGUAGUGAGUGACCUAGGUCUACCCGUUGGAAGGCGAAGUUUUAAUUUUCUCGUAUCAAAAACGGACGAUAGUAACGAAUGCUUCUCAUUAGAUGGUACAGGGAUAUAUAUAUGUAUUAACAACGUGGUAGUGUUCUAAAGGUACUAUACGUACCCGUAUUGAAAGAAAUGACUCCUUUCCGUCCGACAGUAAAGAAUUCCAACUUUAAAAGACAAAAUAUCUUACCGUUGAUAGACAAGGAAUAGACCGUACACAUAAACGAAACAGGAGAUGAAGACUAUUCCGUUCUGUCUAGUUUGGUUGUAUCAUUAGGAGAUUAGGAAGUAAUAUAAGACUUUUUUGUGAUACUAAAAGGCACAGUCCUAUCAUGAUACAGUUUGACUACGAAACAUAAUGUACAAGACCACAUAUGGGACCGUUAUAAUCCGUAAACGAAACAAACAAGUGUGGCGUAAUCAAAAAAAUCAAUAUCGACCAAAAUAAAGGCUAAGUUUGGGUAGGUAAACAGGACAAAAGUAAACAAAGAAUAUUUAAGAAAGACUAUUCUACAACAGAAAGUCAAAAUAUAAACAAGAGAAUUAAAGUAAACAAAGAAUACGUUCCCAAGAGUUUUUAAUGAAAACAUCCGUUCUGUUUUGAUUUUUCCACUAGACCCUGUUCACCUUCCUCCCUUCGGCAACAUUCUAGCUAUUAUUGAACGGCUGUUCUAGUACAAGCAAAUCUGGAAAGGAAUGAUUUUCAAUAAAUAGACAGCGUUCACAAAGACAACCUUGAUAGUUUAAGUUUGAGGAUCUACAGAUACAGUCCUACAUAUUGAAACAGGUCCAUCUCUAUAGGGGUGACUAGAAAAGCACU
rnacentral:rRNA from 1 species